rnacentral:lncRNA from 1 species
UUCACUUACAGUAAAUAUUAUACAGCCGAGGUUCUUUAAGAAACCAAAAUCUGACUCAAUAUAUUGUACUCACAAGAUUCAAGCUAAAGGCCCAACCUAUAUGCACUGGGUUCAAACAUUCUUCAUUUUCAAUUUGCUCUUCUCAGAAAGCUGUGUGCGAAUAUGAACAAGUUUCUUUCUACCCAUGCCCUUGGCUCAACAUUUGGGAUGUCAUUGAACUUCAGAGGGACUUCUCUUCUUUGGUUUUAUCAUGAAUCCUGGAAUGAAAGCCAGCUGCCGAUAACAAUGGCUCUUUCCCAUCAGAAUACAUAGCAUCUAACUGGACCAAGAACUUCGCACAAAGAUUGACAUAGGGUAAGUACAUUUUACGAAUUAGUUUGUUAUUAAGAUGCAUUAUAUCCUAACAUGCUAUAUAUCAGAUUGAAUAUGUCAUAUACUUACCGC